UUGGAGGGUGGACCAGCAGAGCGUUAAGCAUAAGCUGUGGUUCUUUGGGUUCUGAGUUCUUUCCUUGUGCUUGCUGGUCCAGGAAAACAAGAGAAGGCUGCAGCGGCGAUAAAUACUCUGAAGUAUUCUUCCACUGGACAAAGGACGGAUCGAAGACGGAGAAACCAGGCCAAGGUCUUCAGAGCAGUAACCUUAAGGGAAAGGAGCACAGCCAAGAAGCUUAAGAGCUCUCCCUGAUUGCUCCUUAAUGAACAGCUGAGAGGUUGCUCCUGCCUGUCACAUCCUGUGGAAAGAGAUUCUCCAGUGAUCAACUCUGACCAGCUCUCCUUUCCUUGCUGAAAUUCUCUCUCCUGAGGUGUGUAUCUCUGCAGCUUCUCCAGAGCUAUUAUAGCCCUCUUGGCUGCUUCUCUGAUGCUCUCCUUGCUUGGGCUGUCAGUCUACAUUUGAAGUUGUGGCACAUUCUUUCCAUUGUUUAAGGGAUUGAACAGUGGUCCAUGAGAUCUCCACAGCUUGGGAUUUUAGUUUUGUCACCUAACUCUGUUUAAACCUCUCCACAGCUUUCUCCCUGACCUGUCUGGUGUGUCCCAGGGGCUUCAUGAUGCUGUUUGUUCACUAAUGUUCUCUAGGAAACUUCUAAAGCCUUCACAGAACAACUGUUUUAAUACUGAGAUUAAAUAACACACAAGUGGACUCUAUUUAGUAAUUAGAUGCUUUCUGAGAGUAAUUUAAUGUUCUGAAUGCUAGUGCAUGUCACACUUUAAACUUUUAUUUGUAAAAUAUUUUGUAAAGCAUGUAUCAUUUUAUUUCCACUUUACGCUAAUAACUCUGUACUGGUCAGUUCGAUACACUCCCAAUACAAUGCAUUGAUGUUUGUGGCUGUAACAUGACAAAUUUAAAAGAAUUCAAGGAGAAUCAAAUACUUUUGCAGUGCAAUGCACCUGCUAAAUUGCUUAGAUGUGUUGCUGUGGUAGUGCAUCAGUUCUCUUUAAAAAGGAGCAGACAAUAUUAGAAGCUUUUCAGGCAUGUUUUAUUUUGGCUUAAAAUCCACUCAAGAAAUUCAUUUUUUUUUUUUAUUCUGACAUUCAGGUGAUAUGGGUUUCAGAACAGCUGAGUGGUUUCCUAGAGUCAAAGCAAAUCUCUGUUCAUUCUUCCAGUCCAAGCUGAAACAGUUGAAUGCUGUCCUACGUAUGUAG